UCGUUUCACUGAUUUUAAAUCUGUGUUGACCAAAAAAGUUCCAGCUAAUACUCCUAUAGAUUUUCUUGGAUACGUGGUUGUGUCUUAUCCUAUUGAGGAUGUGGAUAAAAAGGAUGGCACUAAAACCAAACGAAUGAACCUAACUCUCAAAGAUCUCCAUGAUACCAAGAUUAGUCUUACAUUAUGGGAAAACUAUGCAAUCGAGAUGUCCGAUUACAUGAAUGGUAAGGACCGCGAAGAUCAUGUGGUUCUUCUUGUGCAUUUUGGCACGGUAAACAUCUAUCAAGAAAAAGUUGGCCUUACCAAUAUGUUUGAAGCAAGUCGUCUUUUCAUGAAUUCUGAUAUUGAUGAGAUAAGAG